rnacentral:rRNA from 1 species
ACGGCUCAGUAACACGUGGAUAACCUACCCAAGAGUCCGGGAUAACCCCGGGAAACUGGGGAUAAUACCGGGAUAGGUCAGACUUGCUGGAAGGCUGUUUGGCUGAAACUUCCCGGGGCUUUUGGAUGGGUCUGCGGCUGAUUAGGUUGUUGCCGGUGUAACGUACCGUCAAGCCUGUAAUCAGUACGGGUUGUGGGAGCAAGAGCCCGGAGAUGGAUUCUGAGACACGAAUCCGGGCCCUACGGGGCGCAGCAGGCGCGAAAACUCUACAAUGCAGGCAACUGCGAUAGGGGAACAUCGAGUGAUCCUCAUAUUGGGGGUCUGUCCACCCGCCUAAAAAGCGGGUGUUAGCAAGGGCCGGGCAAGACCGGUGCCAGCCGCCGCGGUAAUACCGGCGGCUCGAGUGGUGGCCGAUAUUAUUGAGUCUAAAGGGUCCGUAGCCGGCUUUGCAAGUCUCUCGGGAAAUCCAGCGGCUUAACCGUUGGUCGUCCGGGGGGUACUACAUUGCUUGGGACUGGGAGAGGUAGGAGGUACUCAGGGGGGUANGGAGUGAAAUCCUGUAAUCCUUUGGGGACCACCGGUGGCGAAGGCGUCCUACCAGAACAGGUCCGACGGUGAGGGACGAAAGCUAGGGGCACGAACCGGAUUAGAUACCCGGGUAGUCCUAGCCGUAAACGAUGCUCGCUAGGUGUCACAACAGUCGUGAACUGUUGUGGUGCCGUAGGGAAGCCGUGAAGCGAGCCACUUGGGAAGUACGACCGCAAGGUUGAAACUUAAAGGAAUUGGCGGGGGAGCAC